GGUAGAUUGCUGCUGCUGGAAACAGGUUUACUUUAUGCCACCUCAAAAAAAGGUAAGCCUAAUCUUGUGUGUGUAGAAGGGGGUACAUUCAGCCGUAAUGAUAACCAGUAAGAUAUUUUGCCAGAAAUUGAUCUCACUGAUCUUGGUGAUGCUGCCAGAUGCACAGAGGGCUUUAGAAAGUAAAGGCUCCAUGACAAAGCACAUAAUCAAUGUGGCCAAAAAAAGAAAAGAAAAGACCUUGAUUAAAUGGACUACGUUUUCCAUGCUUCUAAGUAUUUUGUAUAGAAAUUCUGCUGCACUUACUGUAAUCCUCAGGGAAGCUUGCUUGCUUAGAUAGUUAGUUAGUUAGAAAGCAACUCUGCUGCUAGUCAUUAUGUGAACUGAGAGAUGGCUUUUAAGGCUGAAAUGAACCAAAGAGGAAGUUGUGCAACAGCAAUCAUGCAUUUCCCCCACUUUAGGCUGGUGGGGUUCAAUUUUAUUUUUUGUCUAGUCAUUUUUGUUUGAUGUGCAUCCCGGUAUUGUGAAUGGGCUAGUUCAUUCUUAUUUUUGAAAUAGUUUGAUUGAAAUAGUUUAAACAUGGAUAGAACACUAUACCAAAACAAGAAGCAUUAGAGUACGGGGGUGGGGGGUGGGACAUAGAAUCAAUAUACAAUAAAGAGGCCUACAACAGAUACUAACAUGUCAUGCAUAUUCUUAUAUCACUUAUGCCCUUUAAAAAAGGUCAACAAGGAGCCAAAAUGUGCAUAUAUUCUCUCCGUAAAGCAAUCUGUGGCAAUGGCGGCAAAGUCUAUCUCCAUUUACAGAAAACAUAAAAGGUCCCCUGAUUCUGUCAAAUUUGUCUUUUGUAGCUACCCAUCUACAUGCACAAUAUUGAUAUGCCGAACAUUAAGAUACAGUCAUGUCCUAUAUUUUGUCUGGGCUAGUUCAUUCUUAUUCCAACCUGCAUACCAUACCUGGUUAUUGAUUUAUGUUCAGCUUGAAGGAAAAUAUUUUCACACUUCUGGCCUGUGCAUGAGUGAAUGGUUUCCUUGUAGAAUCUCCUUACCCUUUACGUGCUGGGGGUACCUCUUUGCCCUUAGCAUGAACUUUUUGGAUAUCUUCCCAAAUACAGUACCUUCAGCAAAAAAGGUAUAAGGCUUUUAUAAACAAAAAAACCCACAAUUAUUUCCCACAGCUUUUUGCUUUUCUUUUGGUAUAUUGCAGCUCAUAAGAAGUCCCAAAGUUACCUGAAAGAAUCUUCUAGUCUAGUCUGUUUUAGUUUUUUAGUUGCCCUCACUGAACUUGGAGACAAAACCAUAAAGAAGGGUAAAGAAAAGCAAAUGAUUAUGAGAGGCUGUGAAGGAGCAGAACUUGAUAUUUUAUUGUUAUUACAAGAGGUCAUGAAACAGUAGGAGGAACCAGAUUUUGGAGUGUGGAAAAUAUCUCCCUGGAGGCACUGGUGACGGAAGGGUAGGUUUAGUUGGGUUGCUUAACCUCAUUUUCCUCCCUCAGUGCAGGCCAAAGUCCAUUCAUUCCAUCACAAAGGGGCUUUGGGCACUUCCACUAUGGAGGUGAUAAGGCAAAAUAUCAAUUUCUAUACUAAAAUACCUGUGUCCUUAUGAUUCCUGAAGGAAUUCAUUUUCUUGCACUAGGAUAAAAAACCCCUGAAAAAUCAAUCACAAGCUUUGGAGAUACUGUAACAUUGACUGGUUAAUUAGGACUGUUUUGCAAGUAACAUUCAGAAUGUCUGUUGUGGCUUUGCUUUCUUACUUUACUAAGAAGCCGUGCUUUAAUACAUUGAACAAAUACUUCUGGAAGUACUGCUGGUUGUGUAAAAGUAAGUGUAAUCCUGUUUAUAGCUGCCAUAAGAUAUAUAACAACAGAAUGUUCUGUCGUGGCGGGAGGGGAAGCAAUAUACCAGAAAUAAUCCUUAUAUCAUACAGCACAAUACUGCCUCAGGAAACUGGUUUGUAAAAGCAGUAACUCGAUGGUGGUAAUAAUGUUCCAUGUAUCUCAACUUGGUUGCUAUCUUUGCCAUCAUUAUCUUUUUCAUAGCCUCCACUGGGAAAUAUGUUAUUAGAAGGGAAUUUGUUAGGCUGUACACAAAGCAACCUUAGAUUGCUCAGUUCAUGGCAUGGCGUGGAACAGAAACCUUUUAAAGAUGGCUAGGGAAGAUUAGAUUUAUGGACCCAGUUCUUCCACCUCAAACCAUUGCACCAGCAGUUUCUGGACCAGGCAACGCAGGAUUACAAUGUUAUUUUCUUGAGUUUGGGCCUCACAUGAAUAUAAAAAAGAUGUUGGAUUCAACUGGCAAAUGCAAACAUAGAAGCUAAUGUUUAUGAAGUUUUACUACAAGUGAAAUAAAGUCUUCUAAAAAUUGAUAAGGAAUACAAGAAUCCAUGUAAACAUAUGAAUGCAUAUAUCCAUAUACACAGGUCAGUUAUUUUAAAAAGUAUUUUCAGCAACUGAAGUUGCUUGUGAAUGAAAACAGAAUACAUUGGGGAAAUCUUAACACACUUUUUGAUUGAGUCUCCAUGAAGAUAGCACGCUUUAACUGGGAACAUCUGUUGAAAAUAAUUCUUGGCUCAGUUGCCAAAAUAUCUCUGUAUUCCAGGUUCAUAAGGAUACAGGAAGCUUACUGCCAAACUUGUAUGUUUCUAUACACUGUAAAUAAGCAGGUGGCAAAUGAUUUGUUUGUUUUUAUUGCAUAAUGACUUAUUCUUCCUUAUAUCUUUGUAUUUCUCCCAUGUGCCGUUACGGCUCCAACAGUGUGCUAUUUGAUUCCCCAUGGAACCCAUUGUUUUCUUUUAAGUUUUUAACAUCAAAGUGUAAUGUACAUAUAGAUGUAAAACAAACAAGACAAUUAUAGUAACAAAAGAAACAAGUGUGGGACAACCGGAUUUUAAAUCAAUGACAAGUAGGUUCUAUAUCUAUGACAACUAUAGUCCAUAAUGUUCUGAGGGUGAAGAAUGCCCUCAGACUUAGCUAUGUGCAGAAUCUUGCUUUUAUUAAUCUAGCUGCCAUACGACAAAGAAAAGUAUUAACUCUUUCAAAAGAAUAUUUUGAGAAUUAUCAAAAACAGACAGCAGUCUUCUGCUAUGGCUGACCCAAGCUUUGCGCCAGCUCCAUCGUAAAAUCAAAAUCCGCCUUUUCUCGACUCUUGCGCAAACAAAUCACCUCAGAAGGAGCUGUCCUUGGCAGAAAUGGCAAGUGUGGAGGCCUGAAACUGCCACCACAGACUGUUUCUGUGAAGCCAUCUGAGUUGAGAAAGCUCAAUGAAAGUGGUCUUCAUUGCUCCUCUUUCCCCACAUCUCUUCGAAACCCUUCCCAUUUACAGAGCAGCCCUUUUCUUUAUGUUGAGACUGCAUUAAAAGUGGCCUAAGCAGAUUGCUUUCCCUCAUGGCAAGCAAUCUCUGAAGAGAUCUAGAAGUCUUCACAGCUGCAGUAAAUCUCUUCACAAAAGAAGUCUGCCCCCUCCCUCGCCCCCCAAUUUCAUUCUAAUUUUGAGCGCUUUAACAUGCCUUGACAAAAUUCAUUAUUUCGAUAAGUAUUUUUUUUAAGAUUUAGAGUUACCUAAUUUAAACGUGUGAGACAACAGCAGCUAGAAUACUAUUGGCACAGAAAUGGAAAGAAAAGGAGGUUCCAAUGAAGGAGGAAUGGCUUUUAAAAGUAAUGGACUAUGUGGAAAUGACAAAGCUGACAGCAAAAUUAAGAAACCAAAAUGAUGAACUUUUUAAAUAGAAGAGUGGAGGCCUUUUGUGGACUGUUUGAAAAAGUAUUAUAAUCAAAGGAAAUUGCUGGCAGAAUUCAAGAUACGAGCAGCGAAAUAAAAAUGAUAAAAUAAUUGUACAGUGCCACCUCGGCUUAAGAACUUAAUUCAUUCCGGAGAUCCGUUCUUAACCUGAAACCGUUCUUAACCUGAGGUACCACUUUAGCUAAUGGGGACUCACUCAUCCUGAAGCAAAGUUCUUAACCUGAGGUACUAUUUCUGAGUUAGCGGAGUCUGUAAGCUGAAGCGUCUGUAACCCGAGGUGCCACUGUAUUAGAGGGAUUUUUGUAAUAGGAGCUUGAUAUAUAAGAAUUCGAAUAAAAACACUGUGGGGGUGGGGGUGGGAAGUCAAAUCUAUAAAACAAGUUAUGUAAUUGUUUGAUUUGAAGUUAACUUGUGAAACACACACACACAUCUACGGUAUAUAUAUAUAUAUAUAUAUAUAUAGUUAAGUCAAAUAAUUACAUAACUUCUUUGUUUCAUAGAUUGGACUUCAUAGAUUUGUUUCAUCAAUUUUGAUAUAUAUCUAUAUCUUUAUAUUGAUAUCUAUGUCUAUAUCAUCUAUAUCUAUAUCUAUAUCUAUAUCUAUAUCUAUAUCUAUAUCUAUCUAUAUAUGAAAAGAAAAGCUAUUCUGCCAUCUUGUGGUGUUGAUGUCUCCCCUGGCAUUCAUGCUGAUUGAUUGGCUCCCCAAUAAACCAACAUCACCUCUAAGUAUAUCAGUCAUGUCACCAGUAUUAACCUGGACUGGUAUCUUUCCAAAUUGUACAAUACACUGAAGCAGAUUCUUGCCUACACACAGAUGGGUUCCUCUCACAGGUGUACUUCUAGUUCAUUCUCCUUUGCAAUAUCAUGGAGCGCUUCCCAUAGACUUUUUCUUAUGAUUGCAGCAACUGUUUCUCCUUUGUGAGUUCAGUAACAUCACUAGUCUUUCACUUCAAGUCUUGGUAGGUGCACAGUGAGUACUGUUCCGUUGUACUCUGCCAUUUGCUGGUUUUGGACAAUCAGCUUCUGAACAUUUGCUGUUUUCUUUCACACUUGGAAAACCUUGCAGCAAUAGUGGCACCAAGCCAAUAUUUCACAACUGAUUUUAACAAUACCACCUGGCAAUGGUUGAUUUUGGAAUAUAUUUGCCAAAUACAAAGCACCUGCUAUUUUACAUAUAUGAGCAGACACACCCUUCCUCACUAUGGCUAAUGCUAUGUUGUCCAAAUUAAACCCAUUUGUGCUGUCAACAAUCUUGUACUUUUGAUUGUUGCAAUACACUAUGCAGAAUAUUUCUAAGACUGAAUCAAGGGCACAUGUAUUUGUUACUAUUGUUUAUGUCUUGUUUGCUGUUGCCAUUUUUCAGGAGACCAAUGGAUAGUACAGAUUUGGCAUGGCUGAGGUCCAUGUGCUACCACUGUGACUCUGUCUGUAGGUAAGAAAAGCUUUUGCUUAUCUUGUCCUCAACAGCCACUCUCUGGUUCUCAUUCUCCUUCAGCUCUGUUAUGCGGCGUAUCCAAGUUUCUUCUGCUGGGAUGGUUCCAUUAAAUUCUUUGGUUAUACACAGACUGACUUUACCACUUCUGGCAUCCACAGGUCACCUCCUUGUCAUCAUUCCCAGAAAUUGGACUUAGUACAUUAUUUGCAUUCCUUACCUGGGUAGUGCUACUGAAUCUUCUUUUCACCUACUAUUAGAUUCAGAAGCUGAACUACUAUCUAGCAUAUUAUCAUAGCCCAUAUUAAAAUCUCCUGCUGCAAUAAUUUCCCCUUUAGUGAAAGAAUUAAGUUUUUUUCAAUGUCUUUGCCAUAAAGGAAUAUUGGUUUGAUUUGGGACCAUAAAUAGAUGCCAGAGUUAACUGUUUAUCAUCAUAUUGGCUGAAACAAAAAUAAACCUGCCUUGUGGAUCUUGUUUAACACCUUGGGGUUUUUUGAAGAAAGAGGACCUUCAACUCUUUAACUAGUUAGAGACCCUCCACUAUUAUAACAUCCCUCAGACCCCUCACAUUUAAUGUAAGCAAUUUAAUAUCUCCUGUGGAUUCAAGGGGAAUUUUUUUGGGAUAGCAUCUCUGAACCGAGCGGUGCAAAGCGUCUAUAAGUCUCCCAUAGCACAGCAGCAAGAAACAGAACAAAAAUGAGAAUCAUAACCCAGUAACCCCCCUCCACUAACCCCCAUACCCUUUCCAAGUCCACUGUGGGAGUAACCAGAAAUUAGCAGCUCUGUAGAAAUACCACAAGGGGAUUCCACCAUCAAUGGACCUGCAAAUUGUGAGGAGAACAAAUGCCUAGGCAUGCCUUUUACAGCCAUGACUGUAACAUAGGCUCCAAGAGUACCAUUUCUGCAUCCCAACCCUGCAAGCUAUAAACAGUAAUACUCUGAAAAGUUAAAGGGAUUAAAUAAGGUACGCUAAAUCUUACUGCGCCAGUAAAUCAGGCAAUAUUGCAAUAAGUAAAGAAUGAAACGUAUCAUGCAAACACAAUCUUGAACUGUGGUGCAGCAAAUGUUUUUCAGCAUUUCCUGUAAAAGUAUGGAUGUAUGAAUCUUGAUAAUGCAGAUGUUUUUAGUUUCGGCAGUUUUGGUCUAUUUAUCCUGUGUUAGAGAUUUUGUGGUUGCCAUUCAUCCCAGGUGCAUACGUAAAGGCAGAUCUUCUGCAUCUUCCUCGAUCAAUUAUUAUUCUAAAGGAGAGAGUGAUUCGGUAAAGAUAAUAUUAUGAAACAGUUUUGUCUUGUCAGUUGCUUUAUGUAUUAUGCCAUCCAUGUUUGUGAUUAACAUGAAGGGGAAGCCCUGGAAGCUGGCUUGAAUGUGUGGCUUUGUUCAAAAUCUCAGCACUAAGGUCAUUCAGAAAAAGAACACAGCAUCCUAUUUCCACUGGACCUUUUCCCCUGAUUGCUUUCAUCAGAGCAUCUCUCUGAGCCAGUGUGGUGUAGUGGUUAAGAACAGUGGACUCGUAAUCUGGUGAACCGGGUUCGAUUCCCUGCUCCUCCACAUGCAGCUGCUGGGUGACCUUGGGCGAGUCACACUUCUCUGAAGUCUCUCAGCCUCACUCAUCUCACAGAGUGUUUGUUUGGGGGGGAGGAAGGGAAAGGAGAUUGUUAGCUGCUUUGAGACUCCUUAGGGUAGUGAUAAAGCAGGAUAUCAAAUCAAAAAUCUUCUCUUCUUCUGGGAGGAAUUAGUAAACGCAAUAGCCAUAUCUCUUGUGAGAGUGCGGAAUCAACUCAAGGGCCUCUCCCGCUGUUUUUCUCCUUAUUGUUGGUAUCUAUUAAUUUUUAUUUUUUCAGUUCUAAGGUAGAAAACUCAUCUUGCAAUUUUUGAAUAAGCUCUGCAUGGAAGCUUUCGAUCCAUACAGUCUAGGGAUAGGGCUGGACAUGUUGAGGCUUUUCCUCCGCUGGAGUUAGGCUUGCUAUUAGGCACCAUUACACAUUUCCCACCUUCCCCAGGGCCCACAAACUUUGGGGCAAAGUAAGUUUUAAUAUUGCACAGAGAGCAAAAUUUUUAACUUAAAAGUUGUCUCUGAACCAUUGCCUUCUAAAGUGUUCUGUUUGGGUGCAGAAUUGAGCCCUAUAGAAUUGUGGAGGGUGAUUUUUUUAAAAAAAAAGGCUUAUGGAGAUACCUGUCUCAAGCCACCGCCUCCGUUGUCACGCACAUGUGCCCCCCCUCCAAAUUUGCUUUUCUCUUGAAGCGCUAUGAUAACAGGACUUUUUAGUGUCUAGUGAAAAGACCUUCGUCUGCCAACAAAGCUUUUAGGUAGAGACCUUCCCAAGUUUGCAUCUGCAUUGAAAUUGGUUUUAGAUGUUUUAAUUGUUUUACCUAUUUUGUGUUUAUUGUCCUGAGCUCCUUCUGGAAGAAGGGUGGAAUAUAAUAUAAUAAAAUAAAAUUAAGUUAAGUAAUAAUAAUAAUAUUAACAGUUACAGAGAGAGUGGUCCUGUAUCUUAUUAUGCAGGGUUGGUAAAGCCUCUGUUUCUGUCAUAAAUUGAAUCAUGGUCAUCUUUGAGAAAUAAUAUGGUUGGCUGUGAUGCUGAAACUAACUAUAACCAGGCCUGCCAUGACAUUAAAUUGGAUCAUACUUUAAAAAAAUAAAAAAAAAAGUUACAAUCAGUUAAUGAGCUUCUUCUGAAUGAGAAACAAGUACAGACCUUAGUAAAGAAAUAGCAGGCAGCUGCUCUCCACCUAAGAAUGAGAGAAGUGGAGACAUAUGCAGUUGGCCCUUGAUGUGAAAAUGGCACUGCUGUAAGUACACAAGAUUAUCCCUGUUUUCACCCGUGAACUACUGGAGGAUAUGAUUUGAAAGUACUCAAGCAAUAAGAGCUAAGAUUAGCCUUGCUGAACCAGAGCCAUGAUUUCAUCUCUUAAAAGAGAUGUCUUUUUAGCCAUCCUCAUGAUCCUGGACAUUACAUAUACAAGUCACAAAAGACUUAAAGCCUUUGUGCUGGGCCCAGGGGUAACCCGUGAAGCGCAGUCCAGGACCGGUCCAGAAUCCAAAGGUUCCGCUAGGAGUCAGUCCGACAGGGCCAAGGCAGGACACGAGGCAGGAAACAAGGCAAGGACAGGGGCAGGGAGCAGGGAGCAGGGUCCGACAGCCUUUUAUCUUUGUUGGGGUAGCGGCCGGUCCUGAUCCCCCGGCGACUCACCUCCCCAUUUCACCCAAAAGCGAGCACUCCUCCUGCGAGUACUCAGGUCUCUCCUUCUCUCAGACCUUAGUCUCUGCAGCUCGGGAGACAUCAGUGGGUUACUAGACAAAGGGGCCGCCUCAGCCUCCCCUGACCAAACCGGUAGUGGAGCAGCUGUAAGUGAUGGCCCAGCUGGAAGGCAACGAGGUAAUCCCCGCAUCUGUAGCCAGGGCAGGCUCAGGCCCCUGACUCGGCCCAGCUGGUGUUUGUUGCAGGGGAACCUGUGCAGACUGGGACUCUUCAGGAUCAGGCCCCAGACUUGGUUCAGAUGAUGCCUGAGGCAAAGGAUCCGGUGCAGACUGAGUCCCUCUGGUUCGGAGUCCGAGCCCGAGUCCCAGGCCAUCACAGCCUUUUCUUUCCCAAUGUAUACUACUUUAUUAUUUUUUAAUCCCAUAAAAUGCAAACCGCAUAGAUUUUACUUAGGAGAGUAGACAGUGGAAUAGAACUAGUAGGAAGCUUUCGGUGUGGUGACCCAGUACUUGAAAGCUUCCAUAAAUCAUAACUAGUAUAUUAAUAAUCCUGCAGCCAGGUGCCAGACACUUUGAUUCCAUCAUACCAAUUUUACCCAAUUUGAACUGGCUGCAAGUUUGUUUCCAGGCUCCAUUCAAGGUGCUGGUGUUCACUGUGAAAGCACUAGUACAGCCCUGUGGCCAUGCUGGGAAGCAGCGUUUCUUGGUGACUGGCAAAGAAGAAUAUUACUCUGUGCAAAGUGAGAAUUAACUUACAUAAUGGGUUAUAUAAAAGCUGAGUUAACAGAACACUCAUUGUGAACAUCAGGAAUUAAAUGAGAUGCAUGCUUUAUGCUUCAUCAGAAACAAGGGUGUUAAGUACAGAAUAUCAGAAGGUGUAAUAAAACAAAAUAGCUUAUGGCAUAACUAGGAAGUGAUAGAACAGUGGGAUCUGCUUUCUCAGAAACUCAGUUUUAAUCUUGUAAAACGCACAACACCAGUGCAAAACAACAACAGGUAAAGAAACAGAAUAAAAACACAUUAAAGGAUGCAACCAAAGGUGAUUUUUAAGGGAGAGGUUGUGAGAACAAUAUACAUAACUUUCUUGAAGUCCAUGAGAUUAAUGUCCUUAAUUUUGUAAAAUAUUUGAGAAACAUGCAAAUGAACCCUUUCUAGAUAAUAGGCUCACAAUACACUUUUUCAAAAGGGGGGGGGGAUACAUUAAUGUAAGUUUGUCAAAAUAACAGUUUAGCUGUCCUUUCUUUUUCAAAUGGAAGAAAAACCGUAUGUAGGGAAGCUUUUAAUGUUCGAUGCUUUACUGUAUUUUAAUAUUUUGUUGGAAGCCGCCCAGAGUGGCUGGGGAAGCCCAGCCAGAUGGGCGGGGUAUAAAUAAUAAAUUAUUAUUAUAGUAUUAUUAUUUGCUAAACACUAAAAGUCUCUGCAGCUGGUCUGGGUUAAAGAAAAUGGUGAGUCACAGAUGGUCGUGCUGUAGGCAAAAGCCUUUUCAGUAGCCAGAAGUUGAUAUGUAUCUGCAAAUGCCACUCUUUGCUUGUAGAUUUUUUGAAACAUUUGUUUUCAUAAGACAUUUUUGGCCAGAGAAAACUCAUAUUUUGUCAGGAGUAGGGUUCCUGGGGAACUAAGUGGGUUUGUUUCCUCAAAAUCCAAGUCAGCAACAGAUGCCACUGCAAUGAUUAUUUCAUUAUUUUCAGAAAAUCUCCUGUUUAUUUCAAUAAAUACAGUAUCAAUGACUUCAAAAUAUAUUAUUUCCACUUGUUGACUUUGGCUCACUUUUUCCACUAGGGUUUUUGUUAAAACAUAUUUCUGUAGUGUUGCAUUUCUGUUGAACUAGGACUUGCGCACUCCAGUUUUUGCCACUUGCAACACUUGCCUCGUUACAUUGGCCUAACAAUUUGGAUGAGUCUAGAGUGUUCAAGUGGUUUCAGUCUCAGCUCUGUAAAGCAUGCAGCACCGAAAGUGAUACAUAACUGUUCUGUGAGCCUUUGCAUUUUUCACAUAUCAAGAUUUCUAAAAGCAACUUAGGAUAUUUUAGAAGCAUAUCUGAAGCAUUCGUUUUGUGCCAUGUCCUCCCAGAGACUCCAAAGGCACACUCCAUUGUCUCCCGAGACAGACAAGUGCCAACAAUAUCUCUCAAAGAACUUGUGCCAUGAAUAUCUGCAAGUUCAUUCUGAGUUUCCAGAGACCCAUCAUUUUUUUCCUAUGGGAAUUUCAAUCAGUUUUUCAUUUUUUUAGGGUAUAUACAAAUUUGCAAAUAUAGUUCUGUGUACAAAACACCUGAGUCCUUUACUUACCGUAGUUGGCAAUAUGCAUAGUUCUGAGCAGACUGAUGCAGUGUCCACCGAAAUCUGCAAUUGGCAGCUGUAUUUCCCACAAAAAGUCUGCUGCUCAAGAUCAGAGCAUGGAGCUGAAAAACUUGAUUCCUCCAGCUGGUUUUGCAUGAUAUGUCUAAUAUAAGCGAUAUCGCACCAGGGACAACUCUUGGCAAUGGCAUCCAGAACUGUCACCAUAUCAGAAGUUGCGGCACUGAACCGACACUGAGACCUGUGCUCUUGACUUCAGGCUCUCAAGUUCAUUUUUCAUGCAAAUCCCCUGGCAUUUCACUGAGUGCCAUGCAUGUAAAAUGAGUAAAAGUGUUUCUAGACACUUUGUACAUAACUUUUUUUUAAAAAAAAGCAUACCAAAUAAUGUAAUGAUCGGCUCUUCUGUUAGCCCUUUAUUUUCUUCUAUCCACAGGACAGAUAUAAGAGGAAAAGAGCUCUACAUUUUCGGUGCUUUCAUUGCUGCUCUGAACUAUAAAUGGGAUGGCAUUUUGGAAAUGCCACCCUCAUCUUAGCUAGUCGAACCAAUUACUGAUGGAAAAGAUUACCUACAAAAUAGGACAAGGAGGUAAGAUGGCCCAGCCAUUAACCAUACGUUAACUUUAAAGGCAUGUAGCUAUUAGGACUCUGCUUUUGUAAUGACGUCAGUUCAAUUAUUUUUGCAGUGUGGGAUAUAAAAAAUAACUCUCUUUUUUAUGUAGUGCCAAAUACAAGCUGUCAUUCAGAUGAUUAUUGGAUUUCGGGACAUCUCGUUUCCCCCCUUGCUAUCUUAAAGGGGACUGACAGGAAAUGGGGACCUUUUUUCCCCAUUGGCACAUCUUUUCUUUUCUAUUUCCCCUCCACUUCUUCUCAGGAUCCUAACAAGUGCCUCAGAUGUGUUAGGUUGUGAGACUAUGAUUGCUCCAACUUAAUCAGUACCCAGCAGAGAUUUGAACAUGGGUUUGCCACCUAAAAUAAUCUAAUCACUACACCAUAUUCUUCUCCUUGUGUUUUUUCCUGUUAUAACGCAAAUCCCAAAAAAAUCAGCCAAGAUUCACAGGAAGGUUGAUAUUCAAACAGCUAAUGAAGAUUGUAUAGGGGGUGUCCACUAGCCCCAUAAUAUGCCCAUCAGUAUCACACAUCAGAGAGGGGUGGCAAGUGACAGGAUGAAGGUUGAAUUGGAAGACUAUGUUUCUGCCUUCAAACACAUUGUUUUGCUUUGUUUUUAUCUAUUACCCACCUUCCCCCCUGUGUGAUGGCCUGGGAAUCUGAUUCAGAGGCUGAACCGGAGGAAUCCCAGCCUGCUCCAGGGCCGGCUGAGCCAGGGCAGGGCCUUGAAUCUGAAGCACCUGCACCUGUGCCGGAUCCUCAGGAGCAGACACCAGAUGAAUCCACUCUGGCUCCGGAGGUGAUUGAGGACCCAUUGCCUACAGGUGCGCCUCUCCCAGCCUUGUCAGGGGAAGGUGAGCCUCCCCCUGGGUCCAGUAACCCUCCCGCCUCUCCUGAGCUGCAGAGGCUCAGGGUAGAGAGGCGGAGGGAACUGGGUUCUCUCAGGAGGAGUGUUCGCCUUAAGGCCAGGAGAGGCGGGUCACCUGUGGGCUGGGACCGCCCCUGGCCUCAGAGAAGAUAAAGGCCAGUCAGCCCGGUCCCAGGUUGUGGCAGCAACGUCGUUGGAAACCUGUUUCUGCCAGUACCCAGACCUGUUCUUCCAGAGUUCCCGACCUUGCCCGGCUCCUUGCUUUGGACCCCGCUUCGCCCUUGGACAGUCUCCAGACCCUCGACCCAGGACCUGACUCUGACCACGCCUCACGGUAACCUCCCCCCGGACCAGCACACCCUGG